ensembl:lncRNA
GUGGACGUCAACAAAAAAGUAAAAGAAAUAAUAAAAGCAAAUGUCACUGUUGUUCGGUUGAUAAGUCCUAUCUGACUCUUCGUGACCCCAUGGACUGUAGCACUCCAGGCUCCUUUGUCCUCCACUGUCUCCCAGAGUUUACUCAAUUCAAGCCAUUGAGUCAGUGAUGCUAUCUAACCAUUUCAUCUUCUGCUGCUCCUUUCUCCUUUUGCCUUCAAUCAUCCCCAGAAUUAGGGGUUUUUUCCAAUGAGUCAGCUCUUCCCAUCAGGUGGUCAAAGUUUUGGAGCUUCAGCAUCAGCCUUCCAAGGAAUAAUCAGGUUUGACUUCCUUUAAGAUUUCCUGGUUUGAUCUCCUUGCUGUCCAAGGGACUCUCAAGAGUCUUCUCCAGCACCACAGUUCAAAAGCAUCAAUUCUUUAGUGCUCAGCCUUCUUAUGGUAAAAUUCUCAAUCCAUACAUGAGUACUGGAAAAACCAUAGCUUUGACCAAACAGACCUUUGUCAGCAAAUUUAUGUCUCUUCUUUUUAAUACACUGUCUAGGUUUGUCAUAGGUUUUCUUCCAAGAAACAAGUGUCUUUUAAUUUCAUGGCUACAAUCACCAUCUGCAGUCAUUUUAGAAUCCAGGAAAUUAAAACCUGUCAUUGCUUACACUUUUACCCUCUUCUAUUUGCCAUGAAGUGAUGGGACCAGAUGUCAUGAUCUUAGUUUUCUGAAGGUCAAGUUUCAAACCAGCUUUUUCCUUCUUCUCUUUCACUCUCAUCUAGAGGCUCUUUAGUACCUCUUCACUUUCUGCCAUGACAGUGGUAUCAUCUGCAUUUCUGAGGUUGUUGAUAUGUCUCCUGGCAACCUUCAUGAUUCAUCCAACCCAUCAUUUUGCACCAUGUACUCUUCAUGCUGCUGCUAAGUCACUUCAGUCGUGUCCAACUCUGUGCGACCGCAUAGACAGCAGCCCACCAGACUCCUGUGUCUAUGGGAUUCUCCAGGCAAAUUGAAGUUAAAUAAACAGGGUGACAAUAUAUGGCUUUGUCAUACUCCUUUCCCAAUUUGGAACCAAUCAGUUGUUGCAUGUCUGGUUCUAACUGUUGCUUUUUGACCUGCAUAUAGGUUUCUCAGGAGACCCCA